rnacentral:sRNA from 1 species
GCUGGGCGCUGUGAUGCUCACCUGUAAUCCCAGUGGCUUGGGAGGCUGAGGCAGGAGGAUCAAGAGUUCAAAGCCAGCCUCAGCAACAGCGAGGUGCUAAGUAACUCAGUGAGCUCCUGUCUCUA